GAAACCGGAAAGAGACCCUUUCCCCGGGAAGGAGAGGGAAGUUGAGACGAAGGUCGGAUACCGAAUAGGUGGUAACGUGUGUCUCGUGGAGUAGGGGCAGUCUGGUCAGCCGGUGGGGCGAGUGACACUAGCGUCCUAGUGGGCAGGCUGGUGUACCAGGUUUCAAGGGAUGUGGCAGGGAGUGAGAGUAAGAAUGACAGGUCGGGGUACCUGUUGCUGGGUAAACGCCACCAUCGACCUGAGCCUCAUUCUUAGUUCACUGUGCUUCGUUUUCUCCACCUCUCUUGAACAGUGAGGUUAGUAGCUCACGGAGCUGUGGUGGGGAUAGAUGUGGAAGGGAGAAGUACGCAUUAAGACAAAGUGACGUUUAAGAAAACAUCUUCAGUUUUUACUUUGGCCGUGCCGAUGGGCCGGUACAAACUCAGGCAUCCUGAGUCUGUAACUCCUCCCUGAGGCAGUAAGCACCUGUUGCAUUAAUUUUAAACACGCAUAGAGUUGUUAGUUUUCACGUUUUCUUUUUGGUACCGGGGAUCGAACUUGGGUCCUUGCGCUUUCGAGGCAGGCGGCGGAACCACUGAGCUAAAUCCCCAGCCCUUUUUUUACGUUUUCUGAAUCUGCCAGCAAAUUCGUUUGAUAGGGUGGAACAAAUCCAUCUUGGUCACCUCUUUCGUUUCAGUUUAAGCUGAAGCAUAGAGAGGAGACAGGUGGAGAAUCACAUUUUGUCAAUUACAGCUGAGACUUAGAGCUCAAUUUCUUAAUUUCCCUCCCCUAAUAUUUUUCUCUAUACCGUACCCUGUGGAUUGCUAAACAUUUCUUCUUUUGCCAACAGGUAUUGGAGGGGUGAGAAGUGAAGAGGGUAGUGACGUACAUUUAGAAACAGGAUGAAUCCAUCAAAGGCAAAGUCAGUGUCAAGGGUUAGAACUGUGUCAGUUACCUACAUUGACACUGCAGGUGGAAAGUGUCACUCGUUGCUUUUGUCAUUUCCCAUUCAGUAGUAUGUGUGUAGUAACAAAAUGUGAAGGUGAAGUUUUAUUACUUGUUACAUAUCUUUACCCAGGAAGGCCUGGGGUCACUAAACAAGAUAUGUGUUUACUUUUGAAGCAUUAUAGCUGGCUACUUAACUGUGCUUUUAUUUACACUGUUUGCUAUAACAACUCACAGACAUUUUCCCAAAACUAUGUGAAUGAAAGAUCAUCUAUAAAAGGACUCGGAAGUUGCCCUCAAGUCCAGGCAAGAUGCUGCAGAGUGCACUGCAGCCGAGCCUCUGCUGCUAUAAUAAUGGCAUUCGAUGCCAGUGCACUCUAAGUGUAUUCUGCAUCACUGCUGUCAUCUUCAUGCUAUGAAAUGGAAAUGUAUUAUUACUGGAAAGUGGCAGGCUUGUGAAGAAAGUAAGGGAGCCUAAGAAGUCCAGGAAACAAACUGUACAUUAGCAAAUAUUGAAAAAGUAUUAGCAUCACAUGAGGAAAAUAUAACUGCUAAAGAAUUCAUUGAGUUAGAUAUUCUUUGUGAGGGAACCAUGAAUACCCAUAUAUAUAUUUUAUAUAUAUAUAUAUAUAUAUUAUAUAUAUAAAGAUUUCAAAGCUUUUGGUUUUAAGAUACCCUUAAAAAUCGAGGAUGCCAAAGAGUUUGUGGAUUAUUUAUAUUACUAUUUAUGAUAUUUGAAAAUAAAAGAUAAGAAAAGUUGAGAGCUGGAGCAGACUCAGUGGCAGAGCACUUGCCUGGCAUUCAUAAGGUCCUGGGUUAACCUCAGCAUUAAAUAAAAAAAAAAAGAAAAUGAAAUGAUCGCUUCUCGACCUUUUAGCUGAGAUCAAGUGUAAAAAAUAAAAGGAAAAGAAAAGAAAACCCAAUCAAAACAAACACUAGAGAAAUCUUUAAAAUACAAGCAUAUAUGACAGCUACUCUGUUGUUAGAGUGAUAAAUGUCCUGACAUAUUAUGUAGCCUCCAGUUAAACUCUGCUGUUCACUCAUGAAUGAGAGGGAAAAAGGCCAGAAAUAUUAUUAUGAAAAAUAGUUUGACCUCAAUAAUCCUUGAGACGCUUACAGAGGCCCCUAUAGGAAUCAUGUUUGAAGAACCACUUUAUGCAAAUGUUUCAGAAAGUUUCUAGAUAAUGUAGACAAAUGAUUGCUGAUGUGAUUGUGAUAUAAGCUGAAGUAUCACCUAAAAAUGCUGUAACAGCCACAGUUUUGUGUCUCCACAGACUAUAUAAUUCCAGACAGAACACAAACAGGUGUAUAUUUUGCGUUCCUUUUAUCCUUUUUUGUUUGUUUUUUGGUGAUGGUGAGGAUCUAGCCUUGCACAUGCUAGGGUAAGUACUCUUACCACUAAGCGACAUCCCCGGUCUCCAUUGCUUUUUUGGGGAAAGGGGGGGUAAUUAGAGAUUGAACCCAGGGCCUUCAUACUGAUUUUAAAGGCACUUGGCAUUUGAGAAGGGAUCACCUGUGAUCUUUAGAAGUCCCUGUUUGUUAUUACGUUUACAGGGUAUAAUUUCUGUUAUAAAAGUCUUAGAUUCUAAAUCUAGAGAGAAGCACAUAACUCCUGUUGUGUUGUAAAUGCCAAAUGGACAGUAAAGCUUACUCAGUGGCUGAGGGGCACCUUCCAUACUUGAGCCUCCAAGAAUUAUGAUCCCAAUUUAUGAUUUAGAACAUUUAAAAUACAUGUUGACCAUCUUAGAAAUAAUCCGAACUACCAUAAAUAUUAAAUAUGUCAAUUUUUUUUCAGUUAUGGGAAGAAGAUUCUAAACCACAGAUCUUUAGUGAACUCAGGUUCAACUCCCCUUCUCAUUCUUCCCAGAUUAGAAGUCACAACUGUGUGCAGUUAGUGAUGAGCCUGUGUCAGAUCCUUCAGGUGUAUUGGGACGGAAGGAAGGUUGAGAAUUCCUGGGCCAUAUUUUUAAUCUCUGCCUUUGUUCCCCCAAGUAUACAGAAAUUUGAAACUGCUUUGCUUCUUCCUAGUGAAGAGGGGUUUUCUUUUGACUUGGAAGCUAAUUUGAUGUCUUAUUUGUCUUUUCAGGUAUGUGAGCUCCUGGGAAGGAGAAAGUAGCUGUUCUCCUGUUUAAUUAUUCAGAUUGUGAAGGCACGGUCCCUGCCUUUGAUCUGCUUACAGUCAAAUGGAGCAGACACAAGUCAGUGGUUGCAGCAUACCACUUAAGGAUUCUAAAGUAGAUUUAUCAGCAGGUUGCAGGUGCAAGUGGCCUUGAGGUGUCUACAUCAGCCCUACCUGCAGAUUGGAGCCUCAUGUGGACAGAGAUGUUCAUUUCUUCACCUUCAGUACACAGUACAGCUCUUUGCAGGGCCACAGAUACAUUGGCAGCUUAUUAAAGUGAGACUAACUCAGCUUGGCUGGACCCCAAAAAGCCAAGAAGAAAGCAAUAGAUGCUCAGUACUCCCCAAUUUCAAGGUGAGAUGCUAGAACUUUUAGAGAUAAGUGCCCAAAACUGCAACCCAAAACCUACUUCUUUAUGGCAAAGUGCCAACACUGUAAUUAAACCUGAAUACUGAGGUUUUAGUUUAGAAAAAACAACCCAUACCUUCACAUCUCUCGUCUUAAAAGAAAAACACAAUAACAUGUGUGCCAUAGGUUCGCUACCACUGGGCUAGACUAUCCAAGAGACACUGGCAAAGGAAAUGGCCAAAACCAACUUGUAGUGCAACACCAGAGUCAAGUUGCAAAAGCCUGAGGUUGUGUCUGCCCAGAAAGCUCCCUCAAAGAAAGCAGGACAGCAACAGCUGGGUCGGAGGUGUGUGUUUCCCAGGUAUGACUGGAACCCACCAUAGGA